AUUGAACGCUGGCGGAAUGCUUUACACAUGCAAGUCGAACGGCAGCACGGACUUCGGUCUGGUGGCGAGUGGCGAACGGGUGAGUAAUAUAUCGGAACGUGCCCAGUCGUGGGAGAUAACGUAGUGAAAAUUACGCUAAUACCGCAUACGAUCAAAGGAUGAAAGCGGGGGAUCGCAAGACCUCGCGCGAUUGGAGCGGCCGAUAGCAGAUUAGGUAGUUGGUGAGGUAAAGGCUCACCAAGCCAACGAUCUGUAGCUGGUCUGAGAGGACGACCAGCCACACUGGAACUGAGACACGGUCCAGACUCCUACGGGAGGCAGCAGUGGGGAAUUUUGGACAAUGGACGCAAGUCUGAUCCAGCCAUUCCGCGGGCAGGACGAAGGCCUUCGGGUUGUAAACUGCUUUUGUACAGAACGAAAAGGUCUCUAUUAAUACUAGGGGCUCAUGACGGUACUGUAAGAAUAAGCACCGGCUAACUACGUGCCAGCCGCCGCGGUAACAC
rnacentral:rRNA from 1 species